ACGCAGUAUACGAGUUUUGUUAUUGCUUACAAUAUGCAUAUGAUUUUUUACAUUUGGUGUUUCCUUCUGAUUGUCGCGAAAUAUUAGCGGUUAACAAAUUCUUUAUUCCUAUUUAUAAUCGUAAAUAUACGAAUUCUGUGUUUUUGUCCGUAAAAAGGUACGCUUUUAUCAUGGCAAAAUUUUUGUUUUGAUUUUAAAGUGCAGCUUACAUUGUGAUUAAUGAAGAUGUGUGUGGCGUAAAUUGUAUAAAUUUGUUUGAUAUAAUCAAUUCGAAAUAAGUAGCACUGAUGAAGAUACUCAUCAUAUUAACUAUGUAAAAUGAUGAAAUUGCAAACUAAUACAAGGGUGGACGAAAUAUAAAAUCAUUGAAUAUUUAUAUGCGGACAUACUUAUG
rnacentral:sRNA from 1 species